AGCGAACGCUGGCGGCAGGCCUAACACAUGCAAGUCGAGCGCCCCGCAAGGGGAGCGGCAGACGGGAGAGUAACACGUGGGAACGUACCCUUUGGUUCGGAACAACCCAGGGAAACUUGGGCUAAUACCGGAUAAGCCCUUACGGGGAAAGAUUCAUCGCCGAAGGAUCGGCCCGCGUCUGAUUAGCUAGUUGGUGGGGUAACGGCCCACCAAGGCGACGAUCAGUAGCUGGUCUGAGAGGAUGAUCAGCCUCACUGGACUGAGACACGGCCCAGACUCCGACGGGAGGCAGCAGUGGGGAAUAUUGGACAAUGGGCGCAAGCCUGAUCCAGCCAUGCCGCGUGGGUGAUGAAGGCCCUAGGGUUGUAAAGCCCUUUCGGCGGGGAAGAUAAUGACGGUACCCGCAGAAGAAGCCCCGGCUAACUUCGUGCCAGCCGCCGCCGUAA
rnacentral:rRNA from 1 species